UUUGGCCUACGGAGGCAGCAGUAGGGAAUCUUCCACAAUGGGCGAAAGCCUGAUGGAGCAACGCCGCGUGGGUGAAGAAGGUCUUCGGAUCGUAAAACCCUGUUGUUAGAGAAGAAAGUGCGUGAGAGUAACUGUUCACGUUUCGACGGUAUCUAACCAGAAAGCCACGGCUAACUACGUGCCAGCAGCCGCUGUAAUACGUAGGUGGCAAGCGUUAUCCGGAUUUAUUGGGCGUAAAGGGAACGCAGCCGGUCUUUUAAGUCUGAUGAG
rnacentral:rRNA from 1 species